rnacentral:lncRNA from 1 species
CUUUCUUUUCUAGGGAAGACUUUCUCCUACUGCCUAAGAGCCUCUAGUCUUUGGACUCUAUUUCGCAAGGUAUAAAUUUCCUCUGUCAUCACUGAAUGACAGUAUGCUUGUUUGUGAUGGAAGUGUCUCCAACUCUAAAAUAAACAGUUGGGCAGUUGCAGUUGGGCAGUGCUGUAAUUCUCAUUAUCUGUUUCCUGUUACUUUUUCUUGUGGUCACUGAACUUCUGCUUUCCUCUCUCUUCACAAGAAAUUUUUUAGAAUUAGAGACAAAACCAAGAAGAGGAAACCUUUGCAACCCUUCCUCUCAGAAGAAUGUAUUUUUUGGUGAUCCUGGCUUUUCUAGGACGAAUUACUGGUGAGACUUUCUUUCAUCAUUAUGAAAAUGGAAAUUUCACACUUACGUGCAAUGAAACAGUGGCUAAUGGGAAGAAGGAAACAGUUUGGUAUGAAACUGGAGAAUCUCUGCAAGAAUUCCAAGUAAUCAACUACUGCAGUAAUCAACAGCCCAAAGUAAUCAACGGACCAAACAAAUGCUCUGAUAAAACAAAGUGUACAAACCAAUUAUCAUAUUCUGCUUCCAAAGGUGGUGGGGUAUUUGCAUGUGAGCAAUUUACAAAUACUGGAACAUCACAGACUUGCCCACUCUUUACCAUUGUGGCUCACUGCAGACAUUAUACCUUUUUUAUCGUGGUGAUAAUAAACAUGACUGCAGGUGAG